UUGUAAUUUGUACAGUGAUGUUUUCUCCCCUAAUUUUCAAUUUCUAUCAGGUACUUCAAAUUUACUGCUUGAACAUGCCGAUAUACAGCUUGCCUGACUGUGCCACUAGUUUAAUUUCUUUGCUGUCCACAACAAAUUUAUGUCAAGUGAUGCUUCAUUUUCUGCAAGGUUAUUGCCUGACUGUGCUGCUGGUUUAAAUUUCUUAUGCCUUGGCAGUGGAGACCAGCGCAUUCAAGGAGAGUUGGCAUGUUGAUCAAAUUGGUACGUGAAUACAGUGAUAAAUUUUCUUGCUAGGGAUGAUUACUUGUUGCUUCUUUUCUUCUUUCUAACAGGGCAUGUCCGCAUAGUGGUCAAUUUACUGUCCUGAUAUUCCUCCACACAAGGGAGCCUCAGUCUGUCCCUCACAAAAAAUGGGAGCUCCAGCAUGCAGUUGCUGUCCGCAUAGUGGUGAUGUUUUACAAAUAUCUGAGGCACACAGCGAUUCCAUUUAUGUUGGCUCAUUUAACUCAAUGGCCACCAUUACACCUACAGGUUCAGGUUCAGUCAAAUAAGAGCCGGUAAUCAUCUUGGUUAGCACCAAUAGCCGCAAGGGCAUGGGCUAUUUUAAUACAAACAGAGGGGCAAAAGAGAAUUUCAAAUGAACUAAAAUUCAUCCGGAUAAAAGACCAGAUUAUGAACUGAUGUUGGGUCUGCACAUUUUCUAUUUAGAGCCUAUUAUGAACUUUCAAAAGUGCAUGGUACGCUGUUUAGCAAAUCUGUAAUAAAGUUGGCAUUCACAUGGUUAUGUAAACCUGCAAAAUCGCUAUAAUAUUUGGCCUUAAUAUCACACAACUUGAAUUGAUCAUUUUUUAAAACA